CACGUAGGGGGCAAGCGUUGUCCGGAUUUAUUGGGCGUAAAGAGCUCGUAGGUGGUUCGGUAAGUCAGGUGUGAAACCUCCAGGCUCAACCUGGAGACGCCACUUGAUACUGCUGUGACUGGAGUCCGGUAGGGGAGCGUGGAAUUCCUGGUGUAGCGGUGAAAUGCGCAGAUAUCAGGAGGAACACCAGCGGCGAAGGCGGCGCUCUGGGCCGGUACUGACACUGAGGAGCGAAAGCGUGGGGAGCGAACAGG
rnacentral:rRNA from 1 species